UAAUACGGAGGGUGCGAGCGUUGUCCGGAAUCAUUGGGCGUAAAGGGCGCGUAGGUGGCCCAGCAAGCGUGCGGUGAAAGCUCGGGGCUCAACCCCGGGUCGGCCGUGCGAACUGCGGGGCUGGAGCACUGUAGAGGCAGGCGGAAUUCCGGGUGUAGCGGUGGAAUGCGUAGAGAUCCGGAAGAACACCGGUGGCGAAGGCGGCCUGCUGGGCAG
rnacentral:rRNA from 1 species